UACGAAGGGGGCUAGCGUUGCUCGGAAUCACUGGGCGUAAAGCGCACGUAGGCGGCUUUCUAAGUCAGGGGUGAAAUCCUGGAGCUCAACUCCAGAACUGCCUUUGAUACUGGAGAGCUUGAGUCCGAAAGAGGUGAGUGGAACUCCGAGUGUAGAGGUGAAAUUCGUAGAUAUUCGCAAGAACACCAGUGGCGAAGGCGGCUCACUGGCCCGAUACUGACGCUGAGGCACGAAAGCGUGGGGAGCAAACAGGG
rnacentral:rRNA from 1 species